ACCUUCUUAAUUUUAAAUUUCAUGUCUCCCAAUUGAAUGAAGAAAACGUUGCUUGCAACGCACAGACGUUCAAGAUCCUCUCCUUUUCCCGCUUCCGCUCUGCCUAUUCCUGAGGCUCUCAUCAGUCAUGACCACUCCUCUCUCUCUCUCUCUCUCUCUCUCUCUCUCUCUCUCUCUCUCAUGGCAGAAGUUUUCAAUGUGACCCCCGGCCCUUUGGACUGUAGAUGCGAUCGGUCUGACUGAAAAGGCAACAAAUUCUCCUGGACUCCCCCAAACUCCAUCGUCACCAUAUUGAACUCUCCACGACCCAAUGCCAGGCCUGAAAUAAUAUUUGAGAAUCUGUGAAGCUCGGUAGGAGGAGAGAAAUGAAGAGUAGGAGGCAGCCAAAGAACUUGAUCCUGCCCAUCCCACUCUGCUCAAUGCUGCUGCUGCUGAUCUCUUGGUGAGCUUGAUUUUGUAUGAGGCUGCAAGGCAAUGGAGAUUGCCCUCUAUAUAUACGCACUCUCUUUUUGGGUUCAUCACGCAGUGUGCAUCAAUGGAUAUACUACCAAAUGUGAAAAGCAGAAAAAAGGAAAUGUGGAAGCAGCUUACAGCCUAACGGGUUCUAUCCGGUUUCUCUAAGGUAGCAGAUAUGCCUGACUUUUGAUGCUCAUCCUGUCUCUUAGUUUUUCCAUUUUUCCUCUUAUGUUGGGGUCCACCUUGGGAGUAGGGCAGUUGUGGGCCGCACAUCCGAUCUGAUGUUGCAUGAUUGGGCAUGUGAUUCUUACUUCCAUGUCACACCUUCAAUGUGGGCUUAUCCUCACGCUUCCCUCUGCGUGUGGACAAUUUAAUUCAUUUUUCGUGUAAUAUAUGCUUUUUUCUUUAAUCAUUUUAAAGCCAUUUAACGAA